AAAGUUGAAAAUCCACUGAUACUUCUCUCUCUCUCUUUUUAGAGAAAUAGGUAGUACGCUAUCUGCUUUAUUUAUUUCAUUUAGAAAUAAGUUUAACUGAAAAUAUGAAUCAACUAGAAUUCGAACUUGAAUCUCGAGUGCAAACCACCAAGCCUUUUGUCACUUGCUCUAGGGACGGUCGGUUUCUCUCCCUCUCUUAAGCUCUAACUAUUAUGAUUAACUAUUUGGUCCCUCAAAUAUAUAUUUCACUUAUAAACUUGAUUAAUAU
rnacentral:lncRNA from 1 species